rnacentral:tRNA from 1 species
AGGGGUGUAGCUCAGAGGUAGAGCACUUGACUAGCAUGCAUGAGGCCCUGGUUUCAAUCCCUAGCACCACAA